rnacentral:rRNA from 1 species
AGAGUUUGAUCCUGGCUCAGAAUCAACGCUGGCGGCGUGCCUAACACAUGCAAGUCGCACGAGAAAGUGGAGCAAUCCAUGAGUAAAGUGGCGCACGGGUGAGUAACACGUGAAUCAUCUACCUCCGAGUGGGGAAUAACUGAGAGAAAUCUUAGCUAAUACCGCAUAAUACCCACGGGUCAAAGCAGCAAUGCGCUUGG